GGCAGUGUAGCUUAAUGGUAAAGCGCUCGUCAGUCGAGGCGGGAGACAACCGUUUGAUUCGGUUCGCUGCCA
rnacentral:tRNA from 2 species